GUGUUUCUGUCCGUGAAACAGACUCCACGAUGGCCCCAUGGCCACUUCUGUGCUUCGUUUCUUCUCUGCUUCCUGGAGGCCCUUGUCCACUUCCUGUCCUUGUGGUUGGAUCCCCUUCCCAAUUCCUAGAACUCUGUGCUUUCCCUGGACCAGGGCUUCCCAGCCUUCCAGGGAGUGGGCUAUAGAGCAGUGCAUUCCUCUCCUUUCUGUAUGUCUGAGGUUUUCUGAGCCCUGUAGUUUUUAGCUGCCCAAAGAUGACACGUCUCCCCAAACUUGAGGCCUGAUCCUCCCACCAAAGACACUGUGUCCUAUUACCUGCUCUCUUUUCAUGUUGGCAUUUAUUAUUUUCUGGAAUUGUCUUGUUUAGUGACUUAUUUACCUCCUUUAGUGUCUGACUCCUCAGACUAAAUGUGAGCUCUGUGUGGUCUGAGGCUACAUCUGUGUAAUUCUUUUGUGUUUCCCUGGAGCCUGCAGUCAUAGAGGGUGGCUGAUAGGAGCUCAAUCAAUAUGAGGUGAAGAGAUGAAUGAAGGAAGGAUGGAAUGAAUGAGUGGGGACCUCUUGGUCACAGUCCCCCUUAUUGUUGCUCUUUUUUUCUUGCUACUGCCUCUCUCCAACUUGAUGUUUUCUGGACUCAAAACCUUAUAUGUCUGUCUUGUGUUGUUGAGUACAACUUUCUGCACAUGGUGAAAAUGUUCUGUGUCUGCACGGUCCAAUAUAGCAGCCGCUAGCCACAUGUGACUAUGGAGCACUCAAAAUGUGGCUAGCGUGACUAAGGAACUGAAUUUUUAAAGCUAUUUAGUUUUCAUUGAUAUAAACUGAAAUAACCCCAGGUGCCCAGUGACUGCCAUGGAGGACAGCACAGGUCUUGAUCUUCAAUGUCAUUCUUAGCUGUGGCCUUCAAAUCUCAUCCUGUUGUCUGCCUACAUCUGCUCCAUCCAGACUCCCAGCUCUCACCCCACCAUCAGCCUAGGGGUCACAACCUCCUGCUAGGCAGGCACCUUAUUCACCUUUGGUUUAGGGGCCCACAGGGAUUGAACCAGGUCUCAAUUUGAUUAGAGCACCUGAGGCCAUUUCAGUCCAAUCUUAGCUCAAAGGUUUCCCAAGAAUACAGGACAAAUAUGAAUCUCCUCCCUACAGCCUAGGGCCCCCAACAGCAGACCUCCAAAAGCUCUAAAAGUCACUGAGACAAAAAGGGGGAACUGUCAUCUAUCGGGCAGCACUUUUUUUUUUUUUUUUUUUUUUUUGAGACAGAGACUCUCUCUGUCGCCAGGCUGGAGUGGAGUGCAGUGGCAUGAUCUCGGCUCACUGCAACCUCUAUCAGGCAGCACUCUUGAUCACAAAGGACAGAAUACCCACUCAAACUUAAAUGAGUGAAAACAUGAAUAUCUUCACUCCAGAAACUUACUGUCCCAGCAGUAUUUGACUACAGGCACAGCUGGAUCUUGGUGCAAAAUGACGUCAUCAGGAAGGGGUCUCUUCCAUUUCUCAGGCUGGCAUCCUUCUGGGUGGGCUCCCUUCUGGGUCACACAGUUCUCAUGAGGUGGCAAAGAUGCCCCAGCAGAUCCUGAUCCUCCCAUCAGCCCAGCAAGUGUCAUGAGAACUGGUUCUGUUCAAGUGGAGCCCUGAAACCCCAGAACGAGUUGACAUGUCCCCACCACAGGUGAACGCAGCCCCAUGCACCACGUCCAUGUCCCAGGAGAACCUGCCAAUUGAUGGUCUGUGCCGGGGUUGAAGGUCUUGUCUGAUUAAAAACUGCUGUCCACUCCUCCACACAUUCUAGAUUGAUCAGUAUCAUAUUCCCAGUGCCCCCAGCCUCGCCACCAAAAUAGAUUUAACCUAGAAAGAGAAGUGAGCUGCAGAAAAUUAAUCACUUUUUUAUCCUCAAGGGACACCAGCGUGAUGAAUUUAAGCUUUGACUGGGGAAAUUAGAGUCACAGAAAUGGCCAAGUGGAGCCUGGAAACGUGAGUUCAGGCGGCCUGUUGUCCACAAUGGCAUCAAGAGGGUGCAGGAGAUUGUGUCAUUUCUUCUCCCUUGCCUCAGUUCCCUUAUUUGCAGAAUGGGGAUGAUGUGGUAACAGCAGUGCCUACCACUCAGGGCUGUUGCAAGAAUUAAGUGAGUGUAUAUACUUGGCACAUAGGAAGAAUUAGCUACUAUUUAUGGAGCCUGAAUGGCAAUUAAACAACAUUAAUAACACGCAUGCACAAACACAUCCGCACACACACACCCACAUACUGCAGACUUCCGCCAGGCGGGCCAUCACCAUGCUCUUCCUUAGCCCAUUCCCUGGCUUCUACCCAGGCGUGGGCCAGCAACUUAACAUGGUCAUUUCUCUUUGCACAACUCUCUGAGUUGGCCAAGCACCUUGACAUAUGUCACCUUGGUCUUUGAGCCCCAGCAGUCGUGACUGAUGGAUAUUGGAAUAUUGGUUCAUGCCACAAAGGAAAAAAACUUGACCCAAAGAGGAGGCAUCUCUCCCAAAGUCAGGUGCCUGGGAACAGCUGAAUCAGGACUUGAACCCAGGACUCAGAUGCCAGGCUCACCCUAGGAGUCAUCAGCAUCAUGUGCAGCCAGCACCUCUGGGCUGGGUAUCGCUAUAGGCUCUGGGGACACAGGUUCAUAAGUCAGGUCGGACACUGAUUUUCCUUGGAGCUCACACACAGUAUUCUGAUGCUCUGACAUUUCCAGGCCUUGCCGACCCUGGACAGCGUGCUCUUCCCAUGCUUGCCAAUUCCUAAGAGACAGGAAACAACUCAUCUGGAGCAUGUCUUGCAAAUGAAAAACAAAUCAAGAGCCCACACGCCCCAACCACCUCUUUUAUUGGGCUCUCCCUCUCCAGGGCCAGGUACCAGACAACUAGGAACAGCCCCUAUGUCCCAGAGCCUGCUGAAGUGACUCAAACUCACAACCCUGAGCCUGGUGACUGCCUAUCCAUUCAUUCCUCAAUAAAGUCUCUUGCUCAUGUCUC